rnacentral:rRNA from 1 species
CACGUAGGGCGCGAGCGUUGUCCGGAAUUAUUGGGCGUAAAGAGCUCGUAGGCGGCCUGUUGCGUCCGCUGUGAAAGCUCGGGGCUUAACCCCGGGUCGGCAGUGGAUACGGGCAGGCUAGAGGUAGGUAGGGGAGAAUGGAAUUCCCGGUGUAGCGGUGAAAUGCGCAGAUAUCAGGAGGAACACCGGUGGCGAAGGCGGUUCUCUGGGCAUUACCUGACGCUGAGGCACGAAAGCGUGGGUAGCAAACAGG